rnacentral:rRNA from 1 species
ACUACGGGAGGCAGUAGUGAGGAAUAUUGGUCAAUGGCCGUAAGGCUGAACCAGCCAAGUAGCGUGAGGGAAGACUGCCCUAUGGGUUGUAAACCUCUUUUAUGCGGGGAUAAAGGUGUCCACGUGUGGAUGUUUUCAGGUACCGCAUGAAUAAGGAUCGGCUAAUUCCGUGCCAGCAGCCGCGGUAAUACGGAGGGUCCGGGCGUUAUCCGGAUUUAUUGGGGUUAAAGGGUGCGUCGGCGGGCAUGUAAGUCGGCGGGCAAAUUGCGGGGCUCAACCCCGGCCUGGCGUGGAAACUGGGUGCGUUGAGUGGGCGAGAAGUAUGCGGAAUGCGUGGUGUAGCGGUGAAAUGCAUAGAUAUCACGCAGAACCCCGAUUGCGAAGGCAGCAUACCGGCGCCCUACUGACGCUGAGGCACGAAAGUGCGGGUAUCGAACAGGAUUAGAUACCCCAGUAGUC